GUAUAAGGUUUUGGUUGGUGAGCCAGUGAAAACUAACUGAGUUAUCUGUGAGCUUGAAAAAAUAAUCGAUUGUAAGGUUUUGGUUCAUGAACCUAAAAAAACUAAUUAAGUUAGAUUGUGAAUUCAUAAAAAUAAUCAAAUGAUAAUCUUGUGGGAUUAUAAUUGAAAUUACUAAGCGGAUUGACUUGGAGAGUAGAUGU
rnacentral:lncRNA from 1 species